AUCGCUUCUCGGCCUUUUGGCUAAGAUCAAGUGUAGUAUCUGUUCUUAUCAGUUUAAUAUCUGAUAUGUCCUCUAUAUGAGGACAACAUAUUAAGCCGAUUUUUGGCAGCGGGAGUUGAAAAAGGAGCUAGCUCCGUUCACUCCAAGCAUCGCCCCGGUACUGCAGUGCCGCCGGGAACGGUGCACGCUUC